rnacentral:misc_RNA from 1 species
AACGCACGAGACCUGCGGACCUGCGGAGGGAUCAUUACCGAGUUCUUUGCAACUCCCAACCCUGUGAACCAUACCACUGUUUUUGUUCUCGUUGCUUCCUGGCGGGCGGCCAACCCCCCCCUCCCCUUCUCUCGCGUCGGGGAGGGGGGCGCGGCCUGCCUGCCAGGGGCGGCCUGCAGCGAACCUUCUAUAUUUUUUUUCUUUUCGUACCUGAAACCGUCUGAGCACUGAUUUUUCAAA